rnacentral:rRNA from 1 species
AAAGCACUUUCAGUCGUGAGGAAGGUAGUGUAGUUAAUAGCUGCAUUAUUUGACGUUAGCGACAGAAGAAGCACCGGCUAACUCCGUGCCAGCAGCCGCGGUAAUACGGAGGGUGCGAGCGUUAAUCGGAAUUACUGGGCGUAAAGACGCAUGCAGGUGGUUUGGUUUAAGUUCAGAUGUGAAAGACCCGGGGCGUCAACCUCGGAAUAGCAUUUGUAAACUAGGCAGACUAGAGUACUGUAGAGGGGGGUAGGAAUUUCAGGUGUAGCGGUGAAAUGCGUAGAGAUCUGAAGGAAUACCGGUGGCGAAGGCGGCCCCCUCGGACAGAUACUGACACUCAGAUGCGAAAGCGUGGGGAGCAAACAGGAUUAGAUACCCUGGUAG